rnacentral:tRNA from 1 species
GGAGAAAUACCCAAGUGGCUGAAGGGGCUGGCUUGGAAAGCUAGUAGGGCGUGAAAGCGUCGCAGGGGUUCGAAUCCCCUUUUCUCCG